AGUGCUCUGCGCGACACUGCCGCCGUUCUCCAUAGAAAACAGUGGGAGGCGGAGCGAAAAACGAUUCGUGCCGCUGCAGUGUGAACGUACCUUGAGGAGGAGAAUACAGGCAGAGGGAGCAGUGUCCAGGUUCCCUGUGCGACAGAUGUCUCCAGAAGCUGAUAUGACUGUAUGCCUGAACAUCUGUGUGAGCAUCUCUCUCACCGCGGGGUUUUCACCGUGAUGGGCCACUUUAACGUCCACCAGCUGUCCGCUGCUGUCCAGCUGCACCUCAACAUAGAACAUGUCGGAGGUGAUAUAGCACUCCGUUUCUGAAGGGCUGAGGUGAGAGCCUAACCUGCAGGGGGAGAAGAAUACAGCCGGACAUUUAACCCUACAGGCCAUGAAAUGUCUCAUUAUACCAGAAAAUGUUUUGUUAAAUAAACAAAUAUAUGCAGUAGAAA